AUCCCACGCGUCAGUUUUUCGUCGUGAGGCAUUCAUAAGCUUUCGCCCCUCCAGGCUCAUCUCCGGGGAUUCUCAAGACCCCAACACGCCCCAUUCUUCCUUGCUUGGCUCACGACUUCCCCGAGCUCCGGGAUGCGGUGUCCCACCUCCGUCCACCCCCUCAGUUCUACUCCAGAGCUCAUCACGUCUGCCUUUGGAGCCACCUUCUCCAGGAGGCCUCCCCGCCAGCCUCCCUAUUUCCCACUUUUGCGCAUCUUUGGUCUCUGGAACGUGAAACGGAUUACAAGACAGGAAGUGCCACUUAUUUUCCCAGGCUGAGGGCUGGGGCCCGCAUUGGGUUCAGGGCUGGCAGCGACCGGGGGUAGGUGGGACGCGUUGUUUGGUACAUUUUCAACUGACCGGUGUUCUCUGUCGCGCCGGAGAGGCUGGGCGAGGGCAAGCGAGCGGCAAACGAUGCCCGAUUCCGGGAUCUUCGGUGCCUCUCCUGUUUUGGGGUCAACUGGCGGGACCUGCUCCGCACAGGCACAAGGCCCUGGACUAUUAUACCCCGAGGGGCCCUGCUCCAGGGAGAUGGGAGUGUCCGCACCCUCGUGCGUCUCGGCUCGGGCACCUCCCAAGGGAGGCUGGGCCGAAGUUCCAGCGCCCUCGCGCGGGGAGGGAAGGUCUGUUCCCAGCUCUCGGGCCCGGGAACUGCGGUUGACCUAAAAGGAACCAAGAAACCUUGUCCUCAUCCCGCCUUCUUUAUUUUACAGCUGGAGAGACUGAGGUCCAGAGAGGGUCCAGGACUCGGCUGCCUGCCUCUGGCGCUGCGCUUCCAGGCCCGUCGGUCGCUGGGUGAUUUCGGGUUAGCCUCUCUCCAUAGCCGGUGCUUCAGGCUCUGUUUAUUCGACUCUAGAAUGGGGCGCCCUCUGAGAGUGUCUUUCUUAUGAAACAAGCUCAGAUGGCUGCCUUGCCUCUUUCCGAGGGCUCGAACUAGCACCAUAGAGACUAGAGGUGUGGUGGCAGCGGCCAGGAUGGGCGGAGGGGAGUGGAUCAACAUGAAUAGAAGGAGUGGCUGUGUCCAGUGGAGAGACGGAGAGGGCUGCGCGUCUACACAAGUGAAGCAGAGCUUGCAGCGGCUUGAACGAAAUCUGAUUCCAGGCGUCUGCUGACCAGCAGGUGCGCUGGAGUUUCUGAGGACCUGCUGGGAUUUCCCUCCAGUUCCUGACUGCUGUUGGGGUGGGCUUGAGGAGAGCCGGUAAAGCAUGAGCACUCUGGCCCCUCCUGGGUUCCUCUUACUUGUGGUGUACCCUGGCUGUCUACUUUCCCUCCUUUCUCUUUUCCAGCAUUCCGUCACCCCUCACCUCCUCCUCUCCCCUCUUUUGUCGACCUUCUUUCAAUGAUCCUCUAUGAACCACUGGCUAUGCCCUGGAUCCUGUGCUAUGCACUGGUGGCAUAGAGGUGGAUACCUCUGAGGCACUCCCUUAACAGAGGAGGACCUGGGUAGUUAUUGCUCUCCCUAUAGUUUCCACCUCCUUUUCAUUAAUCAGGGAGCUUCCCAACAUGUGGGACUGGAAGUGUCUCUGCUCUGGUCUUUCUGGGGUUUGGACCCAACCACUCAGUGAAGGUAGUGUUUGAAUGAUUGCUGGCCAGUUCCUCAACUGUCAGUAUUCCUGGGGGCAACACUGUUUGCUCAGGACUUAGCUUCUGCUUAUGACCCUGUGUACCACCUUUCAGGCCUCAGUACCCAGCAGGGCAGUUGCAUCAUGUCUUUAUUCUGAGGAGUCAUCUCUGCUGGUGCGGCACCCAGGAGCCCUUGAUGUGAACAGCAAAUCUGUGCAUCUUGGCUCUCAUAACCACCACCACCCCUUUCACACACACAUUGCCUAGCCAGCUGCAGGAUGCUGGUAUCUCACUGAUGAUGGGAUAUCCUCCUGGCCUGUUGACGUUCUCCUGUUCUCUCUGAGAUCAGUGUUCUCAGGCACUUGAGAGAGUACUGAGAGGGAUGAGGAUUGGGGAAUAGGAGGGACCCCACUUUGCCAUGUGACCCUUACCAGGUGGCUGUUGGACAGGGUAAGAAGGGAGAGAGAGAGAGAAUCUUAAAGUCAUCAGUGAGAACGGGAUACCCUGUCUACACGAAUCCCCUCUUCAAUUGAGGGCUGGAUGGCCGUGCUGGAGCAGAGAGGGAGACUAAUAGUGCCUCCUUGUGUCCUUGUAGUCCUCCUCCCAGAAAAGGGAAGGUGACUCAGGGAGAAUAGUUUUGCAGUAGAUUCUUUGCAAUGAAGAUCAUUUCUUUGUUCUUUCAGAAUUGUUCCUCUGGGGGAUCCACCCUUUCUUACUAUCUGAGGUCCCAAAACAUAUUCAGAAGUGAAAAGGAGCAGAGAAGAGAAAAAUAGCAGAAAUAAACAAAAACCUAAAAAAAAUUCAACCAAGGCUAAACUUGACCAUGCUUCAACUAAUUGCUCCAAAACGUCUUGUCCUGUGUUCUCAGACACUGGGGAAACCAAACAUGGACUCACUCUUGGGGAGUUCUGAUGAGGAAGCCAUUUUUUGCUUACUCAGGUGACCUGAGGAGGCUUCUGAGAGGGGAGGAAGUGGAGGUGGGAGAGACAGGCUACAGGGAGUGGAAGUAGUUACGUGGGAUGUCUGUUCCCCACCCUGCUACACUGUGCCAAGUCUGAGCUCCUCUAGUGGCCUUACAGUACAGACUGGGGAGGAGGGCCACAGACACCUCCUGCUCCCAGUCCCCAUGUCCUUCUGCAUUUUCUGAGCAUUUCGUUCAGAGUUCUCCCCACCUGGAUUCCUGGCAUUUCCCCCUAGACUUUGGUUCAAGCUCCCGCCUCCCUCCUGCUUUUCAGAAUCACAGGGGUUCAGAGGAUGCAGGAAGUGGGGGAAAAGAGAUGGAAACAGAAUCACUUGCCAUCCCCCGUGACAACAGGCACAGCACAAGGGAAUCUGCAGUUACUCAUUGGGAGCCUGCCUGGCUUCCUGCCUGCCUCAUCCCUGCAGUGUGUGCCACCCUCGCCUCCUCCAGUCCUUCAGCCCCUCUCAGAAUCAUGCACACACUGUCUUAAAGAUCCUGCAUAGGAACUCAACGGUGGCAAGGUUCUUCAGUAGAGUGAGAAGGGUGGGGACCUAGAGUGGCCUUGACCUGCAUAAUGAAGGUCAGAGGAAAUGACCUGACCAGGGGAGUCGCCACUCCAGGAUUCUCCAUCCACAUUACUGUUAGGAUACAGGCAAGCUUUGCCUUCUCUGGAUUUCUGGACCAACACCUUAAAGUCUAUAUUCAUGGAAUGGGUCUGGCAGCUCCAGGGAUAUGGGGUGCUUACUACCUCCCCAGGCUGUUCCUUCUUUGGGGGCCAUUUCUUUCUGUGUGUAGGUAUAUUUUAACUCCAACUUGUGGUUUAGUGGAGGGUAGGAGAUCCCUUUGGUAAUAGCAUGGAUUUUGUUCAUUCAUUCACCUCUCACGUAUCACUUAUCCUGGUCUGGCCUUGUGAUGGGGCUAGGGAUUUGAGAAUCACUUAGACACAUCCCCUUCAGGAGAUUCUAGCAUUGCUUGGGCAGGGGUUAGGGAGGAACUCUUGCUGUUGCUAAAGGUGCAUUUAGGAAGAAAACAAAGUUCAUGGAGUACAGGUGAUAAAGAAAGAAUUGUUCAGACUGCCAGAUACAGAAAUAAAGCCCAGGGACCAGUUCUAGAAAGGCCAAUCAUUGAUCCUGAAAAAUGGGACUUAGAGCUGUGUGGGGGAGAGGGAGUGUCAACUAUAGGUACCUCAGUUUAGCUUGUCCUGGGAGCUUGUCCUGGAAGUUUAUUGGAUGGCAGGGGGACCCUAUGAAAGAUAGAGGAGAAAGAAGAAUUGGGCAGAGAGAUCCUUGGACGUUGUACAGAUCUGAAAGUAAAUUCCUGCCAACCCAAUUGUGAGUCCCAGAACAAAGAUUGCACAUAGAAGCCUUAGUCACUCUACUGUGCUUGGUCAAUGGUUGGGGUUGUCAAGAAGAACAUAGUCAUGGCUUAAAUGCUGUGGUGGGCCCUGAAGGUAAUAUAGCUAAGGCUGUCACAUGGCAUGCCCUAUAGCUAAAUGGCACAGGAAAUCCCACAGUGGGGAAACUGAGGCUUGGGAAAUGAAACAGGGAGGGGAGAUUCUGCCAUGCUCUAGGGGAUAAAGAGGAGAACUUGGUCUGCCCUUGGGAGCUCUUAGUCUAGGCACAGAGAAGAAUGACCUGAGAAUUCCUUUCCUCACAAUCAUGGGCUCAGUUUGGUCCAGGGGUCAGCAGUCUAUCACCAGGCAGCUUGGCAUGAGGGUCAUGGUGCCUUGAGUCUGGGAGACUGAAGAGGGAGGGACUGUUCCCUCCCAUUUAUUCUCCAAUAACAGCCACAGACUCUGGUCAAAUGCUUACUGCAGCAGGUACGAGUAUGUCUAUGCAUGUGGGUGUGUGUGCAUGCAUGUAUGCACGUGUAUGCCUUUCCAUAUGUGUCCGUGUCUGUAUGUGUCCUUGUGUAUGGGCAUGGGUCUGUACGGAUUCAUCUGUUCCCAGGUGGGAGUCAGAGUAGGGCUUGGCUGGUUCCCAGGAGAGUAGAGCUGGGGAAAGCUAGGGUCAGAGAGGGAUGAAUCUCAGAGAUGGUGCCCAGGACCACAGACAUCUCCAAACUGUUUCUCAGAGCUCAUUUCUGGGGCAGUAGAUUCCACAGGGAAUGGCAUAUUCAACCAUAGGGAAAGUUCAGAAUGACUCCACAGGGGAGCUCAAAGUUCUCAUUCACUUCCCUACUCCAAGGCCUGUCUUCCUGAGUUGGUAUGUCAUUGACCUUGGGCAGAGAUUUGGAAGAGAGACAUAAUGUGAGUGUGACAAAAUAGACAUUGACUUUAAAUAAACAUAAUGCCACC
rnacentral:lncRNA from 1 species